rnacentral:sRNA from 1 species
CUGAGUGUUUUUUAGCCAACCCCCUUGGGCGGCACCCUGCGCGCAGAAAAAAAACUGCAACUCUUGCCUUGGCUCCGUUUACUUACUAAAAGUAAUAGGUAGUAUGUACGCCGGCUAAUUUCCCACAGUAGGGAAA